UUGUUUCUAGGCAAGGUUGAUCUCCCCUGAAGGAAAAGACACCUUCAUGUUGGAAGGACACAGGUUUUCAAAGAAGGAACCAAAACCUGAAAGCCUUUUAUGAGGUAUGAAGACGUCCAGGGGAUUCUAAUCGAUGCCAUUUUCUACGCAAAGCAGUCCUUGGCCAUCCUGCCUUCUUUGUGCUUCUAUGAUACAAGCUUAAGUAUGUGUUACUGAAGUGGCCAACAAGUAUGCGAGGUCUUCCAGGAUAUAAUCAUCUCUGCCUUCCUGGGACCUAGUCCAGCGCCUGACAUAUAAAAGGAAUUAGAUGAACAAUGCAGCAAUAUAACCUGUUUGGGCCAAUGAGUUACAAAAUAAAGUGACAUGUGCCAUUUCUAG